AUAACAAGCUCGUACAUAUAUUUAAAAAAAUUUAAUGGAAAUGAACUCAUUUGAAAGUUAAUCAACUGCGAACUAGAUUGUCAAAAAAUUUAACAGUAUUUUAUUUAUUAAGUUUCAAAAGUUUUCCUAAAUUAAAGUGUUAACAAAUUGUCAAAUAUACCGUACCUUUGCGUCUACAUCUGCCCCAAGCUGGACCAGACUCUCCACCAUGGACAGAUGUGACUGAACUCACCGCUGUAGUUAGGGAAGGU
rnacentral:lncRNA from 1 species